rnacentral:rRNA from 1 species
GUAACAAGGUUUCCGUAGGUGAACCUGCGGGAGGGUCAUUAAUGAAUUUGGGUGCUCUUAAUUGAGGCCCGACCUUCAUUCUUCUACCCUGUGCACUAUAACUUGAUCGAUUUGGGUUUAUCUGAGUUGAUCAAUCAUUUUUAAACUCUACAAGUCUAAGAAUGUUAUAAAAACUAUAAACCAAAUAAAACUUUCAACAACGGGUCUCUUGGCUCUCGCAUCGAUGAAGAACGCAGCGAAAUGUGAUAAGUAAUGUGAAUUGCAGAAUUCAGUGAAUCAUCGAAUCUUUGAACGCAUCUUGCGCUCGCUGGUAUUCCGGCGAGCAUACCUGUUUGAGUGUCAUGAACUCUUCAACCCUCCAAUUCCUUGUUGAAUUGUGAGGUGCUUGGGUUUUGAACAUUUGCUGGCUCUUAGUAGCGUAGCUUGUUCGUAAUGCAUUAGCAUCUCCACUUCGAAUUUCAUUCGGUUUGACUCGGCGUAAUAGACUUUACAUUCGCUGAGGGCACUUUUUUUCAAGUGGCCGAAUUUCGAAGAAGAAGCUUCUAAAUCUCUUUGAAAGUCAAUUUAAGAUUAGACCUCAAAUCAGGCAGGGCUACCCGCUGAACUUAAGCAUAUCAAUAA